rnacentral:rRNA from 1 species
UACCAGCACCCCGAGUGGUCGGGACGAUUAUUGGGCCUGAAGCAUCCGUAGCCGGCCUUACAAGUCCCCCGUUAAAUCCAACUGCUUAACAGAUGGGCUGCGGAGGAUACUAUAAGACUAGGAGGCAGGAGAGGCAAGCGGUACUCAGUGGGUAGGGGUAAAAUCCGUUGAUCCAUUGAAGGCCACCAGUGGCGAAGGCGGCUUGCCAGAAUGCGCUCGACGGUGAGGGAUGAAAGCUGGGGGAGCAAACCGG